GAAGGGGUUCACCGGGGAGAUAUAAACACCAAUCACAACUGAGCCUAACUAUAUAAAGGAUUGACACCACUCUCUACCCAAAACCUUAAGGCAAUGGGUUAAUGAGUCUUUCAUCAUUAUAUAGUACUCUACUUUCUUAUUUUUAUCCAAUGUGGGACUUAGACUCACACUUGGAUUCCCAACAAUCUCCCCCUCAAGGGUGAGUCCCUUCCACAUAGGUACACCCCCUCCAACGGAAGCAUAUCGGCUCUAAUACCACUGUAGGGUCUAUCAAGAAAGGGGUUCACCGGGGAGAUAUAAACACCAAUCACAACUGAGCCUAACUAUAUAAAGGAUUGACAUCACUCUCUACCCAAAACCUUAAGGCAAUUGGUUAAUGAGUCUUUCAUCAUUAUAUAUUGCUCUACUUUCUUAUUUCUAUCCAAUGUGGGACUUAGACUCACACUUGGAUUCCCAACAAACCCGACCCACCACGGGUUUGAGCCGUG
rnacentral:lncRNA from 1 species